ACAUGCAAGUCGAGCGAGAGAUCCUUCGGAUGAUCCUAGCGGCGGACGGGUGAGUAACACGUGGGCAACCUGCCUCAUAGAGAGGAAUAGCCUUCCGAAAGGGAGAUUAAUACCUCAUAACAUUGCAGUUUCGCAUGGAACAGCAAUUAAAGGAGUAAUCCGCUAUGAGAUGGGCCCGCGGCGCAUUAGCUAGUUGGUGAGGUAAUGGCUCACCAAGGCGACGAUGCGUAGCCGACCUGAGAGGGUGAUCGGCCACAUUGGGACUGAGACACGGCCCAGACUCCUACGGGAGGCAGCAGUGGGGAAUAUUGCACAAUGGGGGAAACCCUGAUGCCAGCAACGCCGCGUGAGUGAUGACGGCCUUCGGGUUGUAAAGCUCUGUCUUCAGGGACGAUAAUGACGGUACCUGAGGAGGAAGCCACGGCUAACUACGUGCCAGCCGCGGC
rnacentral:rRNA from 1 species